rnacentral:lncRNA from 1 species
UUAAUGGCCCAACCCAUUAUUCAACAACAAAAAAACAAAUGUUUCAGAAAUCCAUUUACCCUAUCCGGCCCAAUCCAAAAUAACAUGUAUGAUAAGUAGAAAGAGUAGGUUUCUAAAUCCAGAAGUUUCCAAAUCUACAUCUCAUCUCCACCGCCUCUUACUCUUCUGCUCCCUUUUUUAUUGCUGUAGCUGAUCGAUCUUCCAGCUUCUCCCUCUCGUUGACCUGUUUCUUUCAUCUUACAAAGGUACUGACUGAGCUCCCCUUGAUUAUUUACUCUUUGAUUCACUUUUUCUUGCUUUCCUUUCCAUUGUUGUAUUUUGCAAGUGAUCAAUUGAGAAGACAUUUGUGCAAAUAAGAAAACUCUGGUCUGCGUGGAAAUUGUGUAACAGCUAAGUAUGCUACUCUUUGUUAAUUUCCGGUCAUCUUUUCUGUAUCUAAUUUGCUUUUCUUUAUCUUCUUUUGAUUAUAUGCCAUAGAUCUGAUAAAAAAAGUAAACAAGACAUGGAAUGAUGUCGCAAAUAUUCAGCCAUUCUCUUCCUUCUCAGGUUUUCGCAGCUCCUUCUAGUCCGUCUACCCUCCGUUGAUGCUGAUAAUUAUUGACUGUAAAAACUUAGUAGUACAUGCAAUUUCUUUGAAUAUACAUACUUCUGUAUAAUCAUUACAUGUGGUCUAUUAAGUUUGAACGUAUUCCUGCUCUUUAUCAUCUUGCUAGUGUGAUCCUCAAAUAUGGGCUCUGCCAUUUGUUACUAUUUAAUAUGGCUUUUUCUUUUUCUG